rnacentral:rRNA from 1 species
UACGAAGGGGGCUAGCGUUGCUCGGAAUCACUGGGCGUAAAGCGCACGUAGGCGGAUCUUUAAGUCAGGGGUGAAAUCCUGGAGCUCAACUCCAGAACUGCCUUUGAUACUGGAGAUCUCGAGUUCGGGAGAGGUGGAGUGGAACUGCGAGUGUAGAGGUGAAAUUCGUAGAUAUUCGCAAGAACACCAGUGGCGAAGGGCGGACUCACUGGCCCGAUACUGACGCUGAGGUGCGAAAGCG